rnacentral:rRNA from 1 species
UACGAAGGGGGCUAGCGUUGCUCGGAAUUACUGGGCGUAAAGGGCGCGUAGGCGGAUACUUAAGUCGGGGGUGAAAGCCCAGGGCUCAACCCUGGAACAGCCUUCGAUACUGGGUAUCUUGAGUACGGGAGAGGUGUGUGGAACUCCGAGUGUAGAGGUGAAAUUCGUAGAUAUUCGGAAGAACACCAGUGGCGAAGGCGACACACUGGCCCGUUACUGACGCUGAGGCGCGAAAGCGUGGGGAGCAAACAGGAUUAGAA